rnacentral:lncRNA from 1 species
UGCAUGCAUACAAAGCACCAUAUACAUUAAAUAAAUAUUUUAUAUAUAUAUUUGCAUGCCUGGUGCCUGCAGAGGUCAAAGAGGGUAGCUGAUCCCAGGAACUGGAGUUACGGAUGGUUGUGAGCCCAGGUGUGGAUUUUAGGAACCAAACCUGGGUCCUCAGCAAGAGCAGCAAGUGCUUAUCUUGGUGUCAUCAAUCCAGCUCCCUACAUGUAGUCUUGUAAGAUUGAACAGUCAAGUUCCAGGACCUGUAGGGAGCCGGUUCCUGCAUUCUCCAUUACAAUAAUGGUGCCUGAAGACACCAAGAUGUAAAUUACUUCACAGGCGCUGGGUAAUCUCCAUUCCUUUGAUCUCUGCCUAUCCCGUGGCUCAUUUGGCCUGAGGAGCUGAAGCCAUUCAUAGGGUAACACGUCCCAGGCGGCUGCUUGCCAGCCUUUAUUAGGGAUGGGUUUCUUGGUUCAGAGUCUCCGCUCUGGUAAGCUUAUGCUCUCUCCAACUCUCAAGAUGCAUUAAAGCUUGUCUGCAGAAGGAUCCGAGUGUCCUGCGUGUAUUUCUUGCCAGCGAGAAAAUACAGCGCGCGGGACAUAUGGUGCCGAAACCCGGGAACAUGUGAACAUCUCCGGCACUGCGGAAACCCCUCUAACGGGGCGGUUUCAGAACUGCAGGGUGGUAAAUUCGGAGAGGAUGAAGAAAAUCCCCUGUAGAUCCCAGAAAGACUCAACCCGAAGAGCCCCUUUGGACCUUCAAAAGUCAAAACUCCACCCUCUCCCCGGGAGUUGAGAGCCGCUAUUGUUAUCCAGAUUAACUCCUGUCCUUGACGGAGAGAAAGGGGUGGGGGUGGGAUUGUUUGAUGCAGCCGUUUGAGGAUUGGUGUUACUUCUGGCUGGUCUAUAAGCUCUAGGCUCAAAACUAAAGAGAGAUCGCCCAAGCACUUCCACUGAUAUUUGGCUAACAAUGCUUAAGCAAUAGGCCGCCGGCCAGACAGCUCUUGCACACCCGGAGCCUAGGCUCAUUGCACAGGGUAGAGUGUCUGGUUUGAGCAGCCCAAUGAGGGUGUUGAGCAAAGGCAUCGCACAGAGUUGCCUAGUAUGCAGGCUUCUCUGAGAGGUACGUUGACCUGCAUAAGGGUUACCUGCCCGAGUCUCCCUUUCCCAGAAAAACGGCAGAGGACAGGUCGAGAGUGCUUCGGGUCAAGCUAACAGCCUGAUGGCGACUCUCGUA